CUUAAAUGAAUUGACGGGGCCGCACAAGCGGUGAGCAUGUGGUUAAUUCGACGCAACGCGAAGAACCUUACCAGGGCUUGACAUCCCCUGACCGCGUAUGAAAGUACGUUUUCACCCUCGGGUGACAGGGAGACAGGUGGUGCAUGGUUGUCGUCAGCUCGUGUCGUGAGAUGUUGGGUUAAGUCCCGCAACGAGCGCAACCCCUACGUUUAGUUGCUAACAGGUGAAGCUGAGCACUCUAGACGAACUGCCGUUGACAAAACGGAGGAAGGUGGGGAUGACGUCAAAUCAUCAUGCCCCUUAUGUUCUGGGCUACACACGUGCUACAAUGGCCGGUACAGACGGAGGCGAAGCCGCGAGGCGGAGCAAAUCCGAAAAAGCCGGUCUCAGUUCGGAUUGCAGGCUGCAAUUCGCCUGCAUGAAGUCGGAAUCGCUAGUAAUCGCAGGUCAGCAUACUGCGGUGAAUACGUUCCCGGGCCUU
rnacentral:rRNA from 1 species